UACGGAGGGGGCUAGCGUUGUUCGGAAUUACUGGGCGUAAAGCGCACGUAGGCGGCUUUGCAAGUUAGAGGUGAAAGCCCGGGGCUCAACUCCGGAAUUGCCUUUAAAACUGCAUCGCUAGAAUUGUGGAGAGGUAAGUGGAAUUCCGAGUGUAGAGGUGAAAUUCGUAGAUAUUCGGAAGAACACCAGUGGCGAAGGCGGCUCACUGGUCCGGUACUGACGCUGAGGUGCGAAAGCGUGGGGAGCAAACAGG
rnacentral:rRNA from 1 species